rnacentral:lncRNA from 9 species
UCCCCUCCUCCUUACCGAGUGUAACCGCCUCGUUUUCGAAGGAAAUCUUAACAGUCAGACAUCUAAGCUGUAAAUGAACUUUUCUUUGUGAUGGCUAAUUUUCUCUCCACUGCUUACGUCCUGCUCCGCUUCGUGGAAUGGAAUGGAUUUAGAGUCUGCGGUAGGGGAGGGGGGGCGGAGUGGGGAAACGGAGCCCAGAGUUACAGACAGUGGCGAGAGAUACGGAAGACGGAGAGAUACCGAGAGAAAAAGAGGCGUUGGGGUGGGAAGAGGAGGGCGAGAGGGAGGGAGGGAGGGAGGGGGGAGGGAGGGGGCCCCAGCUGGCGGGAGCGGAGCCAGAGGGAGAGAAAAGGAGAGAAAAGUUUCCCGGAGUCUUCAUUAGUUGACUUCUCUGUCCACUGCUUCCCCCAGCCGGCCGAACUCACCCCCAGUAAAGGAAGGAGGGGGGCUUUUUUUUUUUUUUUUUUUUUUUUAAGGCCCCAAAGACUCCAGUGUUUACAAGACCAGAAAUGCCACGGCCACGUCCCGGCAGAAAGAAAGGCUGAAAUGGAGGACCGACGCCUUCCUUAUAAGCUCACUGGGGCCUGAGCCAGUACCAACCUGGUAGAAAAAGCAACCAUGAAGCCAGAGAGAGAGCCAGAAGAGGGAGGAGAGCGAGCGCACCAGACCGAGAUGAAAAGGAACCACGCAGAGAAAUGCAAGGAAAAGAGGCGGCAGGUUCCUGAACGAAUGUGGCAAAGGGCAAGACAGGCACUUAUGGACAGAGGUCUAUGUAAUUGUAUUUACAAUUUUUUUUUUCUUUUUAGGGCUACACUCGCGGCAUAUGGAAGCUCCCAGGCUAUGCCGCAGCCACAGCAACUCGGGAUCUGAGCCGCAUCUGCGACCCACCCGCAGCAAUGCUGGAUUCAUAACCCACUGAGCAAGACUAGGGGAUCGAACCAGCAUCCCCCGGACACUAUGUUGGGUUCUUAACUCACUGAGCCACAGCAUGAAUUCCUAAAAAAGAAUUUUUUUUUUUAAUUUGGGGCUUGAUGAAGAAAAGGGGACACUAAGCAAAAGGGGAGGGGAGAGGGAAUUACUUGAGCCACAGCAUGACCGCCCCAGAAGGGGAGAACACUGCAUAAACCUGACCGGGGGCUCUCACACCAGCUCUGACUUGCCACUACCCCACAGACCGUUGGGCUGGGCCCUCCAACCCACCCCCCUUGCGGCCACCCGGGCUUGGGCUUCCCUCGCUCUCCUCUCCUUAUCAUCUCCAUCUUUAUGACAAGGCUUGUUAACAAGACCAGUGAGCUGGCCACGCACAUCUAUCUCAGCCUCUCACGCUCAGCCAAGCAGCAGCCGGCGGCGGGGGGGGCGGGGGGGAAGGUGAGGCACUAAUUAAUUGAUUCCUUUGGACAGUAAAAUAUGGCAACAUCUACACAGAACCCAUCAACUCAUAAACAAUAUCUCUGUUGGGUGUGAGUGUCUUUCAAAUAAUUUUUCCAUAGGUGUGUGUCAGAUCAGUCCUGGAUUUUUAGCUGCUAAAAAAAAAAAAGACCCAAGUCUAAAUUUGAGGGCCAAAACGGAGUUAGCUUGGCACCAGAAACUUCUUUAAGUUAUUACUGUCUCUGGAAAAGCAUUGGGAGUGGGUUUUGUUCUAAAAAACUUGAGUUAUGGCGUAAACUUUCUGGAUUGCUUGUAUAGACCUGGCCAAGGUUAAGGAUGAGAACUGGAGCUGAGGAGCUGGGCAGGCCAGAAUCCUCUUCCUGGUUGGCUGGGAGCAAGUGGGGCUGCUCUGGGAUUUGAGAAGGGGCAUAGAAGACACGGUCCAGUCUUUGCUUCAUACUUCUCCCUGGACUUGAGCUUUAGAAAGUAACUUUAAAAAAUUUUAAACAAACCUUAGCUUUCAAGGAGCCUUUGCAUGCCCGUCACACACCUGGAAACUGCCUGGUAAACACCUUGCCUGGCUGCUUCAUUUCCCUCUUUUUCCCUUUCCUAAGUGGCAGCUCAGAGUAACUCAAUAUUUAUCCCAGGUCUAGAAGAGCACAUUCGGAGAUGGAAGGGGUAAUGUAAUGGUACAAAACUAAUUCCAUACAGGUGUGGUUGUGAUUAUGCAGUCAGAUCCUUCUGCAAACAGAGCUGAAGGCUCUCAAUAUACAUCCUGGCUUCAGACAAGAGAUACAACAGGAAAAUAGAGCCAGGAGACCACUCAUAUAAAUAAUCCACCCCGAGCGGACAUAGAAGGGGUUUUGAAAACCAGAAAUAUAGGACAGAAGAGAGGUUCAGCUGAUGAAGAAUGUCAUUGCCAAUGCCUGAACUUCCUCCUGCUACUGUUUUUAAGAUUGCUAGAGAAAUGUGUGUUAUAAAUACAAUAACGUGUGAAUCCAGAGUAUGUACUUCAAUAUAGUUGGUAGGCAGACACCAUGUAUGCUAACAUAAUCCACAGAAUAUAUUUGUCAUACUCUGGGAUGAUAUGCACUUUGUGUCUAUAAAAUAACGUGAUGUCUUUUCCAUGCAGUUUUUAAAAUGUGGCUAUAUUAAUAUCUGGAUGCAUUUUCCAUGUAAUGAUUUCAUAUGUCCUUUGGCGUGUACAUACCCAUGUAGCUAAGUGGAUGCAGGAUUGUAUCUUCCCUGUGUAGGGUAUAUGCAAGUGUACUGUUUAUAUAUGUAAAUGAAUUUUUACAUGUGAUGGGUAUGCAUGCCAUGUGCAAUCUUUUCUCAGGAAGCUGCUUUCUCAUACAAUAGACAAAAGUGUCUCCGUAUGUAUAUUUUCUAGAGAAAUGUAUUUUCCAUGUCCAGAAUGUAUAUGUAAUAUCAAUCUCUGUGCAUUUUAGACUGUUUCAAUAUAUUGGUUAUAUCGGCAGUAUGGCCAAGCGUGUAUUUUGGGGCACAUUUUUUCCAUGCUCCGAAUGUGGACUAUAC